rnacentral:rRNA from 1 species
AUUGAACGCUGGCGGCAUGCUUUACACAUGCGAGUCGAACGGUAACAGGCCGCAAGGUGCUGACGAGUGGCGAACGGGUGAGUAAUGCAUCGGAACGUGCCCAGUCGUGGGGGAUAACUACUCGAAAGAGUAGCUAAUACCGCAUACGAUCUAUGGAUGAAAGCGGGGGACCGUAAGGCCUCGCGCGAUUGGAGCGGCCGAUGUCAGAUUAGGUAGUUGGUGGGGUAAAGGCUCACCAAGCCAACGAUCUGUAGCUGGUCUGAGAGGACAACCAGCCACACUGGGACUGAGACACGGCCCAGACUCCUACGGGAGGCAGCAGUGGGGAAUUUUGGACAAUGGGCGCAAGCCUGAUCCAGCAAUGCCGCGUGCAGGAAGAAGGCCUUCGGGUUGUAAACUGCUUUUGUACGGAACGAAACGACUCUGGUUAAUACCCGGGGCUAAUGACGGUACCGUAAGAAUAAGCACCGGCUAACUACGUG